rnacentral:sRNA from 1 species
AUACCCCAUGAUGCUCAGGUCCGCCGCAUCUCCUGGGUCGUGGGGUCGGUCGACUGGCGUACAAAUUCAAAUACGGUUCCUCGUGCCGUUAUUGUAUGCCGGUCGACCCCCAU